CCACUACUCCCUCCGUUCGGAAUUACUUGUUAUAAAAAUGAAUGUAUUUAUAAUUAAAACACAUUUAGAUACAUUUAUUUUUUGGACGAGUACUUCCGAACUGAGGGAGUACAAA
rnacentral:pre_miRNA from 1 species